rnacentral:lncRNA from 1 species
UAAAUUCACAGUGGCCGACUUCACAAUCCUAGUCUAAGCGUAAGGCUUGGGGACAUCCACUGGGGGGCAGAAGCGCACCGGGAACGUGCCCCGCCCCGCCCCCCGGGCCCUCCCCGCGCCCAGCCCCGGGAGGGAGCGGCCUGGGCCAGGGGAUGCUGGCGAGGAGACCGGCGGAUGCUCUGACGGCGGCCCGUUGCCCACCAGCUGUUUACUGGGGCUGUGUCCGGGCGCCCCGAGCCGUGCUCCCCCACCUGGGAUCCCUGGUGGUGACCAGGGCACGCUCGCCAGAUGCCCGGCCAAGGGAGACGCUCCAGCCUCCGGCUACUGGGGCUUUCCCGGAGAGAAGCUGAGGCGGCUGUGCCCGAAAGAAAUACUCAGUUCUUAGAAUUACUGGUCCCCUGGUGUGAUAGGGCAGGGAGCUACUGGAGAAGGGCUCUGGCUGGAGCAGGUGGGCUGGAGCAGUUAAAGAGCCCUGAUUCUAUCUGAAGAAAUGCCAGUCUGUGGGCUCCGGGUGGGGCUCCACUUCUGGCUCCAUGGAGUGAGCAUGUGAUCCAAGCCUCUCCAAUCAACACCUUGGAUAUUUCUCACAUGGGAACUGCUUCAAGGUUGGCUCCCUAGUCAAGCAAUUUCCAUGUGACUUUGGGAACU